GAAGGGAAGAACCCCUCCCUGGUGGGACUCCAGAAGUUUCAGAUUUGUUUAAACAUGCAUGAUAUAUCUAACCAAGAAAGAGAGCUCUGUUUGAUUUUUCUGUUAUGGAAUUUUUCUGUGUUCUUGAACAUGUUUGCUGUGUAUUCUUUCUCCACAGACUCAAAAAAAUGCCUCAGUCAAUGCCAGAAUAUGCUCUGACUAGAAAUUAUUUGGAACUUAUGGUAGAACUUCCUUGGAACAAAAGUACAACUGGUAAGCCAAAAAAUAACACCUUUUUUGCAGUCUAAUUGUCACUCAGAAAGCUCAUGCAAUUUUUCAUUUCAAAUUUACUCCACUGAUUGUCGUACUGUUAAAUUAUUUUUGUUUUCAAUUUUUUGGAAACCAUUUUAUUGAAGUGUGAUUGUCAUACAAAAAGCUGUAGAUAUUUAAUGAAUACAUCUCAGUGAGUUUCAGAAUAAGUAUACACCCAUGAAACCAUCACAAUCUUCAUAGCCAUAAACAUAUCCAUCACCUACAAAGUUUCCUCCUACCUCUUUUGUGAUUAUUAUUAUCAUCAUUAUUAUUGGCUUUUUUCUUUUGGUGCUGGUGGUAAGAACAUUGAACAUAAUGUCUAAUGUUAAAUUAACAAUAUUGUUAGCGAUAGGCACUUUUCUUUAUAGUAGAUCUCUAGAACUCAUUUAUCUUGCAUAAGUGAAACUUUGUUCCCUUUAACCAUCACCUCCCAUUUCCUU
rnacentral:lncRNA from 1 species